GACGAACGCUGGCGGCGUGCUUAACACAUGCAAGUCGAACGGUAAAGCGCCAUCCUUUUUGGUGGGGGUGGGUGAGUGGCGAACAGGUGAGUAACACGUGAGUAACCUGCCCCCUUCUUCUGGCUAACCGCGUGAAAGUGUGGCUAAUACAGGAUAUUCUGGGUAAGUAGCAUGAUGGGUCUGGGUAAGAUAUUGUUUAGGUGGGGGAUGGGCACGCGGCCUAUCAGCAUGUGGGUGGGGUGAGUGCCUACCAAGGCGGUGACGGGUAGCCGGCCUGCGAGGGUUGCCUGUCUCGCUGGGGCUGAGGCACAGCCCCGCUUGCUACGCGACGCGGCAGUGGCGACUACUGCAGACAGCGCGCGAGCCUGUUGCAGCGUCGCCGCGUGAGUGAUGGAGCCCUGCGGGGUGUGAACCUCUGUCGCUAGUGAUGCAGGCCUGCCUCGUUUGUGGUUAGGUUGACGGUAGCUGGAUAAGAAGCGCCGGCUAACUACGUG
rnacentral:rRNA from 1 species